CAGUCGCCACGGUAAUACGUAGGGUGCAAGCGUUAAUCGGAAUUACUGGGCGUAAAGCGUGUGUAGGUUGUUGUUCAAGUCAGUUGUGAAAUCCCUGGGCUCAACCUGGGAACUGCUUCUGAGACUGAACGACUAGAGUACGGUAGAGGGUGGUGGAAUUUCCGGUGUAGCGGUGAAAUGCGUAGAUAUCGGAAGGAACACCUGUGGCGAAAGCGGCUCACUGGACCAUUACUGACGCUGAGGCGCGAAAGCUAGGGGAGCAAACAGGAUUAGAUACCCCCGUAGUCCCUGUCUCUUAUAC
rnacentral:rRNA from 1 species